UAGAAUAGAAUAGAAUAGAAUAGAAUAGAAUAGAAUAGAAUAGAAUAGAAUAGAAUAGAAUAGAAUAGAAUAGAAUAGAAUAGAAUAGAAUAGUUCAGUUGGAAGGAACCUACAAAGAUCUUGAAGUCCAACUGCCUAACCUCUUCAGGGCUUACCAAAAAUUAGAGCGUAUUAUUCAGGACAUUAUCCAAAUGCAUCUUCAACAUUGACAGGCAUGAGGCAUCAAUCACCUCUCUAGGAAGCCUGUUCCAGUGUUUAACUACCCACACAGUGAAGAAAUUUUUCCUAAUAUCUAGGCUGAACCUCCCCUGGCACAGUUUUGUGCCAUUCCCUUGCAUUCUAUCAUUUGUUACCAGGGAGAAGAGAGGGGGCUCAUCUGGGAUAUCAUAUUAAGAUACCUAGAAUGUUUUCCUUUUAAUAAUAACUAUUUAGCACUUUCCUUUUAAUGAUAAAUAUUGAGAUAAAUAUUGCCAUGGAAUUAAUCCCUGUAACAAUCUUAGAUUUAUUGCAUUGCAUUGUUUAUUCAGAAACAUUACAAAGCAUUUAUAGCUCCUGUACAGCUGUAUAAAAUACAUGCAGCCCUGACUGAAAUGUUGUCAGUCCAGGACAAAAUAUUGUAACCACUUGUAGGUGAAUGUCUGGCACAAUGCCUUCCCUUAGUGGGCAUGCUUCUGCCAGUGCAACAGGCAGCUGUUAUUCAGCUCCCCUCAGCUAUAGCCAAAUACUGGUAACUCCAUCUUCCCCUGGUCUGCCCUGCUGUCAGGACAGCCCCACCACUGCUUGCCUUUUCAGGCACUCCCUGCAAUUACAUACAGCCUUGGCCCUGCAUACUAAUUGACACAUUUAAAGACUUCUUGCCCCCUCAUGUCCCCUCCUGAACUACAGGUUCCAAGCAGAGAAGCCUGGUUGCCAUGGAAAUCGAGACUCCAAAAUGCCCUGAACCCACCAUAUCAACAUUUGGAGCAGAUUCCAGCAGUGAAGUUUAAAAGGAUAUGCAUAGGAGCGACUACUGAUUCCAUUGGACAUUCCGGUAUACCCAUUCAGACCUGGCCAUCAGGUGCUGAUCCGAAAGUGGAAAGAUGGGCCUCCAAAGGAAAAGUGGAAAGGACCCUAUACCAUCUUGCUCCACACCUACACUGCAAUCAAAGUAGAAGUGAUCAAAUCGUGGAUUCACUAUACUUGUAUAAAAGCAGCACCAGAAGAAGAGAAGCGAGGCCUACCAUCAGGAGAAACACAAGAGAUUUCGUGGCAAGUUGAACGUACUGAGGACUUGAAAUUGUUGUUUAAAAGGACAAAAUGAUUUCUAUUUUGGUUAUAUUUUCCUUAAAAGAGCUGACCUAUGUUUCGACUUCUUGGACAUAGAAUUCUAUAGUUCAGUUAGCUUUAAACUUAACCCAUUUUGCGACUAUAUCAUCUUGUUGGGUGUGUACCCAUGUACUUGUCUUGGCACAUGACAGAACUCCUAUCUAUGCUAUACCACUCACAUUGCACAAGACAGAUGUAUGGCAAUUAGCAAAUACGAGCAAUGCUAGUAUCUUCUCUCAGUCACAGUUUCCCUCUCUCCCUGUGUAUCCUAUUGAGAGAGAAACUCUGUCAUGGGCAUGCUCAAUAGAAGUAGAGAGAAUGCUGCCCAGCGAUCGUAUGUAGGUUCCUGGAAUCUGACUGGACAAUGUAAAACUAUUAUUACAGUUGAAACUACCAAUUACGCUAUCAUAAGAAAUUAUGGAAAUAGAAGUGGACCUAUUGGCCACCACUGGUGGAUAUCUGGCAUGGUUAAACAAGGAGCUGCUGGUCAAACUUAGGCAUAAGAAGGAAACGCACAGACAGUGGAAACAGGACCAUGUGCUCUGGGAAGAGUAGAGAAACGCUGUCCGGAUGUGCAGGGAUGGGAUCAGAAAACCCAAGGCAUGGAUGGAACUGAGCUUGGCAAAGGAUGCAAAGAAUAACAAGAAGGUGUUCUACAGGUACGUUGGCUGCAAAAGAAAGACUAAGGAAAGUGUAUCGCCUCUGACAAAAGAAGAUGGAGAACAGGUAACAGCAGAUGUGGAGAAAGCAGAGGUACUUAACUUUGCCUCGGUCUUCACUAGUGGUCUAGCUUCCCAUGUCUCUCGAGUACCCAAACAUCUAGGCGGGGGUGAACAGAGUACCUCCCACUAUAAGCAAAUAGCAAGUUUGGGACCUCCUGACGCAACUUAACUACACGUCUAUGGGGCUUGAUGACAUGCAUCUCAGGGUCCUGAGGGAAUGGGAUGAUGCA
rnacentral:lncRNA from 1 species